rnacentral:lncRNA from 1 species
AGCACCGAGUACUGCACAAGAUCAUACUGAGGAUGAUACUGGGAAUGAAGUUCCAGAAGAGCACAUGGUAUCUCUUGAGUUACAAAGUCAAACCCCUGGUGAUCUACCCACAGAGACAGAAACCUUACAUUCUGAUGCUAUAGUAAAAGAGUUGCCUCAUAAUGCUCCAGAUAAUAUGCAAACUGAUAUAGCCGAAGAUCCAAAACAGAGUCACAAUCCAGGAGGUAAUGCCGUAUUUGAUGCAGUCACUGAAGCAAGAAGUACUACACAAGAUCAUACUGAGGAUGAUACUGGGAAUGAAGUUCCAGAAGAGGACAUGGUAUCUCUUGAGUUACAAAGUCAAACCCCUGGUGAUCUACCCACAGAGACAGAAACCUUAUAUUCUGAUGCUAUAGUAAAAGAGUUGCCUCAUAAUGCUCCAGAUAAUCUGCAAACUGAUAUAGCCAGAGAUCCAAAACAGAGUCACAAUCUAGGAGAUAAUGCUGUAUUUGAAGCAGUCACUGAAGCACCAAGUACUGCACAAGAUCAUACUGAGGAUGAUACUGGGAAUGAAGUUCCAGAAGAGCACAUGGUAUCUCCUGAGUUACAAAGUCAAACCCCUGGUGAUCUACCCACAGAGACAGAAACCUUACAUUCUGAUGCUAUGAUAAAAGAGUUGCCUCAGAAUGCUCCAAAUAGUAUGCAAACUGACAUAGCUGAAGAUCCAAAACAGAGUCACAAUCCAGGAGAUAAUGCCGUAUUUGAAGCAGUCACUGAAGCACCAAGUACUGCACAAGAUCAUACUGAGGAUGAUACUGGUAAUAAAGUUCCAGAAGAGCACAUGGUAUCUCUUGAGUUACAAAGUCAAACCCCUGGUGAUCCACCCACAGAGACAGAAACCUUACAUUCUGAUGCUAUAGUAAAAGAGUUGCCUCAUAAUGCUCCAGAUAAUAUGCAAACUGAUAUAGCGGAAGAUCCAAAACAGAGUCACAAUCCAGGAGAUGCUGUAUUUGAAGCAGUCACUGAAGCACCAAGUACUGCACAAGAUCAUACUGAGGAUGAUACUGGGAAUGAAGUUCCAGAAGAGCACAUGGUAUCUCCUGAGUUACAAAGUCAAACCCCUGGUGAUCUACCCACAGAGACAGAAAC